rnacentral:rRNA from 1 species
AUACGUAGGUGGCAAGCGUUGUCCGGAUUUACUGGGCGUAAAGGGUGCGUAGGUGGAUAUUUAAGUCAGAUGUGAAACCCCUGGGCUCAACUCAGGGACUGCAUUUGAAACUGGAUAUCUGGAGUGCAGGAGAGGUAAGUGGAAUUCCUAGUGUAGCGGUGAAAUGCGUAGAGAUUAGGAAGAACACCAGUGGCGAAGGCGACUUACUGGACUGUAACUGACACUGAGGCACGAAAGCGUGGGUAGCAAACAGGAUUAGAUACCCUGGUAGUCCACGCCGUAAACGAUGAGUACUAGGUGUAGGGGGUAUCGACUCCCUCUGUGCCGCAGUUAACACAAUAAGUACUCCGCCUGGGAAGUACGAUCGCAAGAUUAA